rnacentral:misc_RNA from 1 species
UAAUACUCGAAGAAUAUUCCUGUUGGAUUUGUAAUAGAAACGUUAUCCAAAGCUAUCUUGUUGGUGCAUAAGCUCUAAGCCGUUUAUGUCCACGAACGAGUUAGCUAGCCUAGUUAACAAAGUGUAGUUAACAAAGAAAAUCAGUCAUAAUAUGCUUAUAUAGGUUUGCUAUGUAUUUUUUAAUACGAUGAUUGUGAAUUAUUUCUCACAUAACAUAAUUCACAAGAAUGAACCGAAAAACAGACCGUUCUGGUCA